CAAACGUAUGUAAUGGAGAAUCAGUUCGUUACUUUCCCUAAAAACGCCCAGCAUUCUCUAUAGGCCUAUUUACAUGAGUGCUUUUUUGUUUUGUUUUGUGACGGUACGCAGCGGUACGUCGUAAUGGCGCCUUUUUCAAUGUGGGUAAGAGGUUUGUUUCUUGCCAGUGAUGCAUAUAUCUUCCUUGGACGUCCCGGCGCUAGCCUGUAAAACUGAGGCCUUACGUCGUAAAUGGUCGUACUUCCACCACACCUUGGUCUUUGCACUAUACUAUUGGUAUUGGAGCCCAGCGACUGGUAGAAAUUUGUAACCCCUGUUGGCUACGCUUAUGGAAUUCGAUGGCGUUUGGUGUGCUUAAUUGUGCGAAAACAAGUGCGACUGUUUUUUGUUCCACUUUGACACAUUCAGCUGCCGUCAACACGAUACACGUCUGGAAGGUCUCACACUGUUUUCUACAAUUAGUUUUACCCAUACUGUUAAUGCACUUUAAUGGAUAAUUUUUUAUUUUUUUUUUUAAAUUCCCAAUCAGAAGUGAACCAUAAUUGCAUUUUCAUAUGUUUUGAUUUGUAACGUAACACAACAUACCACAGAUAAAACUUAUAGAACAAAAUUUUUUUUUUUAUUUAUUUCACUUUUAAUGACUAUUCAGUGAAUGUAGAUCUAUUGAUCUAGAUACAAUCAACAAUGCUUAUGUAUACAGAAAACAACAUAAUAAAUAAAAUAGGAAAAUGUACAAAAGCAAAGAAAAAAAAUUAAAUUAAAAUUUAAAAAAAUCCAGAUA